GCAGCCAUCCUCUCCAUCCCCGAACCUGUUCCUUUCUUCCUCUCGCUGCGGCCGCCGUCAUCACCGGCUCACCACUACCUAUGCUCUUCUCUCCUGGCUCGCCUGAUUUUUUUUUAACCUCUGCAUCCAGGACCAUGGUGUCGUAUUGCAGUCAGGUAGCUUUUAACAGCUCCGAACGGAUUUGUUCUAGGUUCUCUACUACUAAUAUUAAUUGCAUCUAAUCUUAAAUUCUAUCAACUAUGAUAUGACCAGAAUAUUCUCGGUUGCCUGAAAAGGUUUUGUCCAGCGAAUACAAAUUCCAAUUUGCUUUUAAUUCCACCAAACAUAGUCUGCCUGAGAUAUCCUGCUGCUCCCUGAUAAGGAAGUGAACUAUUUUCCUUUAUUUGUAGUGUAUCUUAAAAAUUACCUGUCAGAUAAUUUUGAAUCACUGAAACCUUUACAAUAGAUUUCUGAUGGUUUGAAAUUGAUGUGUAGCACAUGCCUGAUUAAAGCUAUAUAGAACCUCAGUGGCUAAAGAUUAAGGAUGCCUUAACUAAGGGUCGCUUCUUGCUGGUACCAAGCAAGGCCAGUGCAGGAGCAACUAAUCCUCUCCCAUAGAGCCAAGAUUGUUUAAGUGCCUACAGUCUACCAGGCUGCCAUUCGGGACCCUUCAUUGUCCUGGUCCUCCAAUUGAUCAGGAGAGUAGACUUGGGCUGCAUAAUGCAUUUGCUAAAAAAUGGUGAUUAGUGGAAGCUUUAGUUCUUCGCUUCAGGAAAAAUAACACGAGGGCGCGCCAAGGCGCGCGCAAAGUACUCGUAGCUAAAAAUUUCCAAACAUGAGGGCU